AAGAGAGAGAGAGAGAA
rnacentral:sRNA from 1 species